AACACGUGAGUAACCUGCCCUUGACUCUGGGAUAAGCCUGGGAAACUGGGUCUAAUACCGGAUAUGACUCCUCAUCGCAUGGUGGGGGGUGGAAAGCUUUUGUGGUUUUGGAUGGACUCGCGGCCUAUCAGCUUGUUGGUGGGGUAAUGGCCUACCAAGGCGACGACGGGUAGCCGGCCUGAGAGGGUGACCGGCCACACUGGGACUGAGACACGGCCCAGACUCCUACGGGAGGCAGCAGUGGGGAAUAUUGCACAAUGGGCGCAAGCCUGAUGCAGCAACGCCGCGUGAGGGAUGACGGCCUUCGGGUUGUAAACCUCUUUCAGUAGGGAAGAAGCGAAAGUGACGGUACCUGCAGAAGAAGCGCCGGCUAACUACGUGCCAGCAGCCGCGGUAAUACGUAGGGCGCAAGCGUUAUCCGGAAUUAUUGGGCGUAAAGAGCUCGUAGGCGGUUUGUCGCGUCUGCUGUGAAAGACCGGGGCUCAACUCCGGUUCUGCAGUGGGUACGGGCAGACUAGAGUGCAGUAGGGGAGACUGGAAUUCCUGGUGUAGCGGUGAAAUGCGCAGAUAUCAGGAGG
rnacentral:rRNA from 1 species